rnacentral:sRNA from 1 species
GGAAGAGUAUCCGUUCUUCUAAGGUGGCCGCUCC